rnacentral:misc_RNA from 1 species
GUUUCCCCAUCUGUUGCUUCCCCUCUACAAUUCCACUGUCAACAGGGAGAAUUUCUUCAGCUUCUACUUUAUUUUUCAGUAGUUUGUCAUCAAACCCCUUUCUGAACCAAGAAUUUUUCAUGAUCCGUUCAAUUGAAAUCCUCGUGCAAGGGUUUGGGUCUAGGAUAUUGGUUAGCAGCCUUUUCACUUCGAGAGGGAGACCAGUGGGGCAUUUGAAUUGCGCCUUACCAAUCUUUCGAUACAACUCCAUCAGAUUGGAAUCAUGGAACGGGAGAUAACCGGCCAAGA